UUUUUUUUUUUUUUUUACUGUUGCAUAUCCGGCCAGUUUUUGGCUGGAUUUCCGGCCGGAUUUUGGCUAGAGAGCUCGAAAAUAUUUUUCUUUCUCCCCUGACUAUCCGGCCUUCAAUCCGGCUAAUAUUUGGUCGGAUUUGCUGCAGAAAAAGCUGUUUUCUGCAGUUUUUCCUCCAAAUUUGCUUGGCCAACCUUCCGUAUUCCACCUACUUUCAUGUUCUUUGAAUAAAAUUCAAGUUUAACAUGAUCAUGCAUGAAUAUAACUUAAACAUGAAACACUUUAAAUGCAUGAAAUGCGGCAAAUGAACAUGAAAACUCCCUUUUUGCCUCAAUAUAAACACCUUUGCAAUUGAGAUCAUUUGCAUGAACUCUUGCCAUUGCCACCUAUAAAAUACACAAAAACAUUAAUCGAACAACUAAGAUUUACUAAAAACAAGCCAACAUGAAGAAAAGUCGAGUUGAAAAGUGAUCCAAGCCUUCGUAUUUGAAAGGAUCCGAGGUCAGAUCAUGAUGAUUGAGCUCGGAUCAAGAAGCUCGAAAUUUUUCUCUGAUUGCAGAAGUGGAUCCGAGCUCGGAUCCAUUGAAUUUGCACGUAUUGCAGAAUUUUUGCAAUUUUUAGUUUGACCCCAAUUAUUCAAAAUACACCCUAGAUCAUUUCUAUGUCAAAAUAAACCAUUUACGCACAUGUAAAAUGAUCUAAACAUGCAUUCUAAACCUCUUUAAUGCAUCAAAAACCACAAUUACUGAAUUUGAGGUAUUGAGAUCUUUGAUCAAACUUCGUCUUUUUCACCUCAUUUGGUCACUUUUUCAAAACCUACAAAUGAAAAACAACAAAAUUACUCAAACUUAUACUUUAAACAUAAAAUCACUCCAAAGUAACAGCAACUUAAACAAACAUUGGGUUGCCUCCCAAUAAGCGCUUCUUUAAAGUCAAUAGCUUGACUAUUUCUCCUCAUUUUUUAAGGAGGUUUAGUUAACGAAUAAUCCACCAUUUUAGGCCGUGGUGGAUCAUUAAAUGGUGACUUUAUAGCCAAAGCCACAUGAUCUAAUGAUGUGAGAAAUGAAAGUGACUUACCUAUCCCAAGUGUUUCAUAGAUAUUACCACGAAUAUGCACCACUUGAGAACUUACCAAAGGAAAUGUCAUGAGAGUAUCUUGGGCAGGAAUACCUUUAGAACCUAUACUUUCACUGCACUCCUCAAGAGGGGUGAAAAAUGAGUCAUUAAAACUCACAUCUUGAGGCUCAAAGUUAGUUUCAAAGGUAUUAUCAUGUGAAAUGGAUAUUUGCUCAUUGAAAUAUAAUUGAGAUUCAUCAUUUUCAUCCAAAUGCAAUCCAUUUUCACAUACAACAUUUCCACCAUUCAUGCUAGGAUCAUUUUGCAAAUUAUUAGAAGAAAUAACUUCACACAAUACAUUCAAUUGCUCAUGUAUUCUACCAAAGUGAGAAGCUAAUUCAUCUAUUCUUUCCUCAAUCCUAUCAAAAUGGUCGGAAGUUGCAUUUGCUAGCUUUUCUAUUGCUGAAUCAAAUUGAUUAGAAUAAUUUUCUACAGCUAGCUCCCAAGAUGCAUUAGAAUCAUUAGCUAAUGGUUCAUUCUCUAAUUCCCAAGGCAGAGGUGCAUUAGCUAACCUUUCUAUUGCCAACUCCCAAGAUGGUUUUGAUUCAUAUUGGACACUUUCCGGUUGGUAAUCAUAAAAAUAUGAAUAAUCACUAUAAGUACAUUGACUUUCCCAACCAUACGCAGGAGAAUUGCUCCAAUUAGCACUAUAUUGAUCACAACAGGGGUUGUAAUGCUCUAAUUCAUCAUAAUAAUCCACAUUUUGUGCUUGUAUACAUGUAUUAGUAGCAUGAUAACUUCCACACAAGUCACAAAUCACAUGAUAAGAAUUAAAAGCAUUAGCAUUACUCCCUUGCUCAAUUUCAUGCAUAAUUGUGUCCAGUUGAACUUGUAACAUCAUAAUAUCAAAUUUAGUCUUUAAGCACCUUAUACCAUCUUCAAAAGACAUACAUUCAGCAAAUUCUUGGUUACCUCUGUUGAAGGAGCUUUGCACUUGAUAACCAUCCAUUGCCAUUCUUCCACUUCUCAAGCAUUGUCCUCCAAAUUGACCUACCCUUCUCAUCACCUAAAAUUGCUUUUAAACAACCUCAAAAGCAAAAUUAGUAAGAAAAAUAGGUAAUGAAACACAUACACACAUAAAACACAAAAAUAAUAGAAAAUAACAUUCACAUUAUAACUAAUAUUAUGUCUAAACUAAUAAAGUUGCUCUUCACACCGAAUACUACAUAUCGGGUAAACUAGUAGUUUAGGGUAUAUAUCGGGUCGAUCCCAUGAGGAAGAGUGAACAAUUACCGAUAUUACUAAAGCUUCUCUAUUAUUUAGACUAUCAAUGAAUUAUAACAAAUUUAACCUACUGAAAUUACACAAAUAAAAGCUCCUUAGGUUAUGGUAUCCCUAACUACUCAUGCAAGUGCUAUAUUUGGAUCAUUGAAUACUACAUGUAGGCUAGUUAUGGUGUAAUUUCCUUAUGCAUUUGAAUCCUACUUUCGUAGUGAAUCAAUUAUACUUAUAACUAAUCCAUACCUAUUCUCAUGGUUAUGAAAUUAGCUACAAGUUCAUUUCUUCAGUGAAAUUACAUGAAAUGAAUCACUAAAAACUACAUAGGUGCACCUCUACUUUCGUGAGUGUACUUCCUAUGUUUAGCACUUCUUGAACUAGUGAUAAAUCUCAAUUUUCAUUGCAGAAACAACACCUUAGAUAAUCACAAUCAAUCAUACCAGAUUAAUCAUGAUUUAGAGAGCCAAAGUACUAAAUAACUUGCUCAAAUCAUAGCAAUCAAAUAACUAAAUAAUAAACACUAACAAUUAUAGAAAGUUCAACCAAACCCAAGGUAUAAACUUUAGAGAUGCAUAAUAAACACAAAAUCCAGAACUUGUAUAUUAACUAAACUUGGAAUCAAGUACAAAAGAUAAAGAGUUUGGAAGGAAUACAACCCUUGUCACAUGAGCUUUCUUCCUUGCCUUCUUCAUCCUAAUCUAGAUAAUAAACAAGAAUGGACAAACUAUACUACUCUAUACUAAGCUAAACUAACACUAGGGAGAUGAAAGAGCUACAUUUCUGCAACUUCAAGCUUCUCCCGUAUCUCUCUCUAUUGUAUUGUUGGAUCCCCAAUCCCUCUUGCAAUCUUGGCUAUUUUAUGAUGAAAGAUGGUCAAGAAAUGAGGCCUCCACCUUCCUUUUACAGCUGGAGAUGUUUCUCACAUGUCUAGCAUCGCAUGUGAGUUGGUGGGAGUGAAAUUGAGUUUUACGCGUACAGAGCAGCCUUUUCUGACCACAAUCCGGCCAGAAAUCCGGCUCUAAAUCCGGCCAAGUUCAGGCCGGAUUGCUACAGUAAAUCUGGACUGCUUCAGUGAUCCGAUCUGCUACAGUACCUCGGAUCCUUAUAGAUCCGAGCCCGGUUCCACUUACCCAGAAACAGCCGAGGGUUCGGAUGAAUAGUGGAUCCGAGUGCGGAUCACUUGCUCUAUUUUUGGCCCAACUUCAACCGAUCGUUUCUUGAUGUUAGAGGCUAAACCAGCUCAUGUCUAAAACACAAACGUUGUAGCUUUUUGAGUUAUUUUUCCAAUGCAUCAAGAAUCACCUCAUUUGGAUCUGUGUAGGCUGAGAUCUGACCGAAAUACCCUUGCCUGCUCAUUGCCCUGUUUCAGCUUCGACCAAAUGAAAUUGGCUACUGUACUUCGGCUUUUUGACUUGGAAAACCUUCAAACUGGAUUCAGAUGUCUUCACCAAAGUUGUAGAUCUAUCUCUUAUCUUAAAAUUGGUUUAAGAAUCAUCUCAAUCCGGUCAUUGUAGCUCAAGUUAUAGCCAAAAUACGAAGAUGUGUCAAAACUGUCAAAAUGCGCAAAAUUCCACUAAAAAGUGAUAAAAGCCUCAUUUAAUCACUUAAAAGCAUUUUUCACCAAUUAUAGCCAAAAUGAUUCAUUUUCUUCCAAUAAUAUAACUAAAGUGACUAAAAAUAAUAUGAAAUAUCAUACAAUUAUUACGUAAAUUAGUCACUUAUCAAAUGUAAAAUUAAAGUAUAAUUGUAUUAAACUAUAUACUGCAUAUUGAUAGGAUUUUUUUAGGCCAUGUAGAAAAGAAUAUCUUUUCUCCAUUUUCAAGUUGAAUUGAUUAUCAAACACAUUUAACUUUAAAAACUGAGUAAGUUAAGAUUGUGCACUUAGAAUUUCAAUCUUCACAUUUCAUACUUUAGUUUUCAGUUUUACCAACCCCUAAACAAUUAUGAAUUAGUUAGGUUCUUUCCUCCUCUGAAUUCCAUGCGUUCUUUUCCUUUUAAAUUCCCUUAAAGAAGGGUUAUCACAAGCAAAAUAAACAUGUAAAUAAAUAAAAGAAUUAUGUAUAAAUAUAAAAAAUGUUGAAUUGAAAAUGAAUUAGUUUUCAGCAAUUCAAGAAAUGCUUGUGCAACUCAGUUUGUGAUGCUAGAAUUGAAAAUGAUAACUCUUAAUUAUUAGAAGAUUUUUGCCUUGGAAUGUUAGUAUAUUUCUGUGUUUGAACAUGACCCCAAACACUGUUUGAGCUGGACUUUUUUUUUAAAAAAAAAAUUUCCUAAGCAUUUUUUCGUCCUUAAUUUGUAUGUUUUGCAAAUUUAUAGGCAUUCAUUUUUUUAAAAAAUCAAUUUAAGACUUGGUACAGUGGUCAAAAAUAUAACUUGACCACUCUACCCCCCUUAAGAUGGUGCGUAAAAGUUGGACGACCAAGUUGACCCAAUAGUAAGAGUCAAAGGGCAACAAUGUCUCAAAUUGAAAUUAAAUGACAAAAAGUGGUUCAAAAAAAAGUUAGAGGACUAUUUGGGUGAUUUGUUUUGAAAAAACAAAGAUCAUCAUCAAAUUACCUUUAAUCCAUUGAAAAAUUGGCCUAAUAAGAAAAUUAACAAGCUCUGAUUUCAUCCGCUUUGAAACUAAUCUAAAUGGUUGUUCAAACUAGUAUACUGUAGUUUGUGAGUUGUUCAUGCAAGACAGCGCAAAGCACAAUAUUUAUCCUCCAACAUUUUAUUUAGUUUGGGAAUUCAUAACCCAUAGUUAUACAUAACUGGCAAACAACCAGGAUUACAUUUCAUCUCUCAGCAGGUAACGAGAGGAACUUAUUCAUGAUUAGAUGGCUGGGAACUUAUUCAUGGACUUUUUACCAUAAGCCAGAACAUCAGAGUUAAAAUAAGGCCUGAUUUUUUCACUGGAAAAAAGGCAUUCGUAUUUGCCCUCAAGCACCAUGAUCCCUCCAAAUUUGGGG
rnacentral:lncRNA from 1 species